rnacentral:lncRNA from 1 species
GUUUAAGGAAAAGAUGCCUCUAAACUAUAUGUUUAAGCAAUGAAAUUGUUGAGUGAAAUACAGGUUUCUUUGUAUUUCGCACAAACCUUGCCAUACGCCAAUCUUAACCUAUGCAUCUGAACUGCUUUUUUCUUCCAGUCAGAAGGCAGAAACAUGUGAGCUGCUGAGAGAGGGAUGAACCAUCACAAGGCUGCGACAAAGGCUGAAAAGCCUGGGGACCAACAACACACAGAAACGGCUGAUCCAGUUGGGGCUCUAACUGCCGCCAGUGAUUUGAGCUGUAUGAAGCACUGAGAAACAGGCCAAUGUGAGUACAAGACCAAGCAUGCUUUUGGUGCUCCCGUGGAAUAUACCUGAAGUACGAAGUUUCACCCUUCACUUCUGCAGAAAUGGAUUCCCUUUCUCUGCUCACAAGCUGCGCUGUUGGAGCACACAGUUUGCAGGAAAGGUAGGAGAACGUUGAAACAAUUUUCUUUGGGGAGUAGAGGGCAUUUGUAGCUAUCUCCCACAGAAGCUGAUGCUACUGUG